rnacentral:lncRNA from 1 species
ACCUGUCAUUAUAGAACUAAGUAGCCUCAUUUGUUGUUCUAUUAUAAAUCAGUCUUGCUUUUAGGCCAUCUUUCAGUUUCUAACAAGCACAAUAUAUCUUUAAAUAUAAAAGUGAAGUUCUGUGUCUGUCUCCUACGAUUUAGAUUCCUAACUACUCCCACAUUUUGCGGUGCAGUGUAACCAAAAGCGGGUAUCUUAUAGUCGGGAUUCAUAUCGAGCCCUUCUGGGUAUUAGCGCUCAUCUACGAUGAGUCUACGAUUUUAAAAAAUAAUUUACCAUCAUUUUUUUCCAUUUUAAUGCAUUUUUUCGCUAUUAUAUAAGGGAAGUAACUCUCUAAAAAUGUCUACGAUGAGUCAACGAUUUAAAAAAAAUUUACCAUCAUUUUUUUCCAUUUUUAAUGCAUUUUUUUGCUAUUUUUUGGCUAUAACUCUCUAAAAAUGCUUAUAUAGAUAUUUCCCUUACAAAUCCGAGCAACGCCGGGCGAUACUGCUAGUCUUUGUUAAAAUGGUAAACAAACUUUAAUUCUAUGUCACGUAAUAAGCAAGAUAUGAUUCAAUGGAGGUGGGCUUCGGAACGUCUAUAGGCCAGAAUCUGCAGAGCGAACGGUGUGCCAGGAGUCGGACGAGCCAGAAGGACGAAGGCCAUCAAGUUAGGCUUUGGAUGUGGCAGGCGUUUCGUCAAAGUAGCUGUGAUCUGGGCAUGCAAGCUCUGGAAUGGUUGACGCUACUUGGGGUUGUAUUGACUGGACAUAAUCUGGGGCUUGGUUGCUUGGGUCAGGGUGUCUAUUUAUUGAAAGACUAAAAACACUUCAGAGAUCCUAGGAAACAUUUCUGACAUUUCCAGAUGCGUCACACGACGAUGUAUGGAAAAUAAAGGAUAACAGAAUUAUAUCAAAUGGAAAAUUUAUGUUAUCCCUUUAUCGCUGAGGAAUUAGGGUUUAGUCACUGGACCUAAGGAUUCUACCGACCCCCGAACAAAUAGAUUUUGAAAUUAAAAUACGAAUGAAUCUAAAGUUAGAGAUUUGACUGAAUUUAGAGAUUUUAGGAAAACAGGUUUAGCAGAGUUAUGUACCUUGUUUAAACAACAACAAAAAAACACUAAGAAGCGUGCGAUCAAUAGGUCAAGGGAGAUGACUCUGGUGCUUGGGUAAAAAGAAACGGGAAAAAGCAGUAUUUGAGAGAAUUUCUCAACUACCACUCCUAUUGGUUUCAAGUUUUGGCACAAGGCCAGCAAGUUCGGGGAGAGGUUUUAAGCCGAUUACAUCGACUCCAGUCCUCAACUGGUACUUAUUUUAUCGACACCGAAAGAUGAAUGGUUAAGUCGACUUCGGCGGGAUUUGAACUCAGAACAUAAAAGACGAACGAAAUACCGUUUAUUGCUCGACGUGCUCACGCUCGCCGCCUUAAAUAUCACUCAUAUUAACAGGAAAAUAGGCGGAUACACACACACACACUCUCUCUCUCUCUCUCUCUCUCUCUCUCUCUCUCUCACACACACACACUCUCUCUCUCACACACACACACACACUCUCUCUCUCUCUCUCACACACACACACACACACACACACACUCUCUCUCUCUCUCUCUCUCUCUCUCACACACACACACACUCUCUCUCUCUCUCUCUCUCUCUCUCUCUCUCUCUCACACACACACACACACACGUGGAUGUAUGGCUUCAUGCAAUACAAUACAAUUUAAAUCUUAAAUUGCGUGGCAGCAGCCAGCAUUAACAACUCCGUGUGCAGUUCGUUUCGUGUCGUUCGCGUAUUCUAAUUGAAUCCCUUGUUAUGAAAUCCGGGUUUCAGUGUUACACAGGCGAGAUUUAGUAAACAAAUCAAUACACAACAGAUAAUAACCAAUCUCUCAUGCUCUCUUUUGUUUACAUAUACAUAUAUAUAUAUAUAUAUUGGCGAUUUUUUUCCUCUGUCUUCCCUUCUCUGGAUCUUUCCUUCUCCUAUGUUUCCGACGAAGAGCUCCGCUCGAAACGUUAAACCCUCCUUUUUUCCUUCUUUCCUGAGCGUCCAAUAAUUCUAUAUUUGUUCCACGUCCUCGUGUUGUUGUGUUUUUUUUGUGCUUUCUUGUUUGGAUUAACUAUAUAUAUAUAUAUAUAUAUAUAUAUAUAUAUACAUAAAUUAUUAGAUUAAAUUAAUAUCAAUUUUUCACCCCCAUUUAUAUAUAUAUAUAUAUAUGUCUAUGACUCCAUGCCAAAGCACUUGUAUAUUUGUCGAUAGAAUUUUGAUUUAUAUGUAUGUAUGCAUGCAUAUGUGUGAGUGCAUGUGUGUUCUUUAUUCCUUCCUGGUCUUCAACGUCCCUGAAGCCAUCCCAUAAGCCAUAUUGUCUUCUAUUAGCAAAUAAGGACGCUUCCAUGUGAUCACAUGGCAUUCAAGAAAUAGCAGCCAUAUCUUCCUCGAAUUACAUUCUACCAUAUUGACAAACUGGAGAGAAAUACAGAAUAAUAAUAUAUUAUAAUUAGUUGUAGUAUCAUUAUUAUUAUUAUUACUAUCAUUCAGGUCACCUUAUGAGUACCAGAGUGAUGCUUCCAGCCAUCUCCUUCCUUAAUAAGUAUUCUGUUAUCAAAAGAUGUUUUAUCCUCCAUUAGAAUGAAGCACUCCGUCGGUUACGACGACGAGGGUUCCGGUUGAUCCGAAUCAACGGAACAGCCUGCUCGUGAAAUUAACGUGUAAGUGGCUGAGCACUCCACAGACACGUGCACCCUUAACGUAGUUCUUGGGGAUAUUCAGCAUGACACAGAGAGUGACAAGGCCGGCCCUUGAAAUACAGGUACAACAGAAACAGGAAGUAAGAGCGAGAGAAAGUUGUGGUGAAAGAGUACAGCAGGGAUCACCACCAUCCCCUGCCGGAGCCUCGUGGAGCUUUAGGUGUUUUCGCUCAAUAAACACUCACAACGCCCGGUCUGGGAAUCGAAACCGCGAUCCUAUGACCGCGAGUCCGCUGCCCUAACCACUGGGCUAUUGCGCCUCCACCAUCCUCCAUUAGACUAUGGUGCUGUUUAAAGACAAUACAGCACAACUCCUCAUUGCUUUGGUGUAACUGUUUUAGACACAAGCCCUUAGCCCUAACCCCACUUUUACUCUCAAACCUUCAGGAGUUAUGCUAUGCCAAUGUGCCAAUGAGCUGAAGUCCCAAUGUACUGAUAAGCUGAUAGGCCAACUCUUUUGGGACCUCUGCUGUGUCGUGAUCUUCCAUAAUUUAAUCUGAGGUUGCAAGGUUCUCAGUUACCUUGUGUGGCCAUGUGAAGGCACUUCAGGAAUUUUAUAUAAUCUAUUUGAUAAGGCUGUCAUGGUUGGACUGUCUGUUAUUAUGGGCCAGUUCAACAAAGGCUAACUUGAAGCUAAAUAACAACACCCACAACAACAUCACUAUCCUCAAUUUUUUUUUUUUUUUUUGUCGUUGCAGUUGCACUCUUUGACGAUGAAACUGCUGCUUACCAUUCUGCUUACCGUUCUGUGCCUGCAGGUGCAAGCACAAGAUCAAUGCUUCCACGAUUCAAGUGUUAACUGCGUCAGUGACUGCCUCAUGUGUCUGAUUCUGGGGAAGAAAUGUCCAGCGGACGCACCGAUCAAAAAUGGUACAAGGGCCUGCUGCGAAGACUGUAGAACUAGUGUGCAACAUCUGCCUGAAGGAAACCCUAAUAUUGUGGUCUACGGCCUGGCAUCAUGUCGUAGCGCCAGUGACAAUCUCGCUGCUGACUUCCAUAGAUGUCGAUCGGAUUUCUUCCGACUAGUUCGACCACACUCUUAUCAAGCAUUCUUUAAUGUGAACUGUAAUGUGUAACUGAUAUUUAUAUCUUGUGAGGUGGCGAGAUGGCAGAGUUGUUAAUAUGCGGGACAAAAUGCUGAACUUUAACCCUUCGUCCUAUCAAGGGUUGAUAAAACAAGUACUAGUUGUGUACUGGGGUUUGUUGUAACCAGCUAACUAACUCCCUUCCAACGAAAUUCAGGCCUUGUGCCUAUAACAGAAAGACUAUUUAUGCAUGUGUGUGUGUGUGUGUGUGUGCAUAUAUUUUGUAUAAGUUUGUUUGCGUAUGUGUCCAUUUUGAUAUCAGUUUUUGUUUUGUAAAAAAAAAAAAAAAAACCAAAAAUAUUAGACAAUAAAUAUUGAGAAUUGAACCCUCCAAAAACAGCAUUAACCUGUUAUUUUUAUAUUUAUGUUUUUUUAUUUGUUCAUUCCCAUCAUCACUAUCAUCAUCAUCAUCAUCAUCAUCGUUUAACGUCCGUUCUCCAUGCUAGCAUGGGUUGGACGGUUCGACCGGGGAUCCGGGAAGCCAGAAGGCUGCACCAGGCUCCAGUCUUAUCUGGCAAUGUUUCUACAGCUGGAUGCCCUUCCUAACGCCAACUACUCCGUGAGUGUGGUGGCUGCUUUUUACGUGCCACCUGCACAGGUGCCAGGCGAGGCUGGCAACGGCCACGGUCGGAUUGGUGUAUUUUACGUGCCACCAGCACGGAAGCCAGUGGAGGCGGCGCUGGCAUUGGCCACGAGUCGGAUAGUGCUUUUUACGUACCACCAGCACAGGGAUCCUGGCUGGUUCAAUUCGAUUUCGAUUUCACCACUAAUAUUAUAACAAUCAAUAUGUUUAUCAUCAUCCCCCUUUCCCCUCGCAUCAUCAUAUCCAUCCAGCAAAUUAUUAGGUGCCACAGUUUGUACCCAGUUUGCUUGCUUGAUUCUUUUAUCUAUUCCAAAAAUGAACACUGAUGUAAAGAAGGAUGUUUACAUAAAUAAAUGAAUGAAUGAAUAUGUCUGUGUUUACAGAUGAGGAUCAAGGGUCUAAAACAUCCUACCAUGACCACUACUCCUUGUCACAAACUGCCGCUUGUGCAGCAGCCAAUCACCCACUUCAGGGACUUCUUGUCUUCUCCUUAAAGACAUCCCUCCAAAUUUAGCUUUGUUGCCUGCAUGGCUGUUCUCUGUCCACCCAGCCCCUGAGGACACAGGCAUAGAUGUUACGAAACCCUGAUAACAUAGUGUAGUGAAAAUAUUGCAGCCAUCACCACAUAAUCGUUGUCACCAUCUUUCAUUUCAUUCAUAUUUCGUCCAGGGUAAAAGUGCAUGGUCCAGUGGUCAAGGCAUUCGGCUCAUGAUCGUAUGGUUGUGAUUUCAAUCCCCACCAGCAUGUUGUUUCUUUCACAUUGCUCCUGUCUACUCAACUGCCAAAAAUGAGUAAUAUCCAUAUUUCAAAAGUUCAGCCUUGUGUCAUGCUCUGUGUCGUGCUGAAUCUCCCCCGAGAACUACGUUAAGGGUACACAUGUCUGUGGAGCACUCAGCCACUUGCUCAUACAUUUCACAAGCUGGCUGUUCCAUUGAUGAGAUCAAAUGGAACCCUUGUCAUAGUCAACAAAACACCAGUUUCAUUUAUUUCCUUUGGAACAAAAUCUUUGGUUCCAUAGACCAACCAGAUCAUUUGCAGAGCUUACCCGUGAGACAUCAUCUCAGUUAUUUGGUGUCAGGCACCUAUUACGUCUCAAUUGUAGUAGCAGUUUUACUAAUAUUGUUACAUACAUUCAAGCACUGACCAAAUGAGUCAAAAAUAAAUAUUUAUAUAUACUCAGUUGUAACACAUCUUUUAGACAAUGCUACUUAUAAUAGCAUUCAUGACUAUUUGUGGUUUUAAAGGACCAUAGUGCAAAUACAUCUAAAUAUUACAGUUCUAUAUUUGAGAGAUGAGGAAUUAUAUACAUUAUUUACAUUCAACGGAUAUUUGUCCUCAUCUUGUUUGUUGUUAACACUAUGUUUCGGUUGAUAUACGCUCCAGCCUUCAUCAUAUGGUGUAGUGGUUAAGAGCGCAGGCUAGUAACCCCAAUAUUCCGAGUUUGAUUCCAGGCAGUGACCAUAAUAAUAAUAACAAUAAUAAUAUCGGAAAAUACCUUAGGAGUAAGAAAACAGCACAGCUCCCAUGACUUCAGGAAACAUUUUUUCACGCUGAGAGUUGCUGAAGCAUGGAACAAACUGCCGGCAUCGGUUGUUAGUUGUCGGAGCACUGCAUCCUUCAAAACUUCCAUGCUUCCUGAGAUUCGCCAACACUACACCUGAUUUUCUCCCCUCCAUACACACGCAAGCAUGUAUCUGACUCAUACACUGUUUGCUUUCCAGGCAUUUCUACAUUACUGCAUAUGCUUUAUAUGCACUUUCUGACAAGUUGUGGUGCACCUGAGCACUGUAUACAAUAAUUUCAUUAUUAUAUUAUUAUUUAACAAAUUUUUAAAUAAAAAUAAUAAUGCACAAAUUUCAAAUUUCAAAUUUCAAGGCUGGAGGGUAUAUCAGCCGAAACGUUGUGUUAACAACAAAGAAGAUGACAAAUAUCCGUCAAAUGUAAAUAAUGUAAAUAAUCCAGAUAUUAACCUUAUACAUUGUAAUAUAUUCAUAAUGCAGUGAGCUGGCAGAAUCGUUAGGUGCACCAGGCAAAAGGCUUAGCUACAUUUUGUCUGUCUUUAUGUUCUGAGUUCAAAUUCCACUGAGGUUGACUUUGCCUUUCAUCCUUUUGGGGUCAAUAAAUUAAGUACCAGUGAAACACUGGUAUUGACAAGUCCCCUCCCCCAUAAUUUCAGGCCUUGUGUCUAUAGUAGAAAAGAAUAUAUUUACAUACACACACAGAUUAUGUGUGUGAGUGUAUGAUGGAUACACUCAUCAUGAAUGACAAAUAAGGGUUCAGUGAAAUACAGCAGUAAUGAUGUUCUACGGACAAGAAUGUGUCUCUUGAGGCCUGCUGGUGCCUUGCAAACCCUUUAGUAAAGGGAACCAGUUGAGGACGCAGUUUGCUUGAGUGCUUGUGGACCAUUUGUUAUGUGUUUUCUUGAGUGGAAGGCAAGGCCUGCUUCGCUUCAUACCAAAAAAAUACCACAAUGACAGGUAAGGUUUUCACACACACAUAUGUGUAUAAGUUUGUGUGUGUGUUCAUGUGUUUCACCAUGGUAGCUGUGAACUGGUCAUCUUAUAUGUCUACCUCACCUUUUAUGCAUUUAAUAAUUACCUGAAGAUGACAGGCUUUUUUGCCAUGAUGAAGAAUGCAUCAAUAAAAUGCUACUGCAACAGCUGUUGUGAAUUUUAAACACCACUUGUGUUCUCAGAUAUAUAUAUAUAUAUAUAUAUAUUUCAGUCCUUUGACUGCAGCCAUGCUGGAGCACCACCUUUAAUCGAGCAACUCGACCCUGGGACUUAUUCUUUGUAAGCCCAGUACUUAUUCUAUCAGUCUCUUUUGCCGAACCGCUAACUGACAGGGAAAUAAACACACCAGCAUCGGUUGUCAAGCAAUGCUAAGGGGACAAACACAGACACACAAACAUACACGCACACAUAUAUAUAUAUAUACAUAUAUACGACGGGCUUCUUUCAGUUUCCGUCUACCAAAUCUACUCACAAGGCUUUGGUCGGCCCGAGGCUAUAGUAGAAGACACUUGCCCAAGUUGCCAUGCAGUGGGACUGAACCUGGAACCAUGUGGUUGGUAAGCAAGCUACUUACCACACAGCCACUCCUGCGCCUAUAUAUAUAUAUAUAUAAUGUAUCCACUUAUGCAUACCUUUCUUUCAUUGGACACUAAAUUCUGCUUGUGAAGACCUGUUGAAGCAAGUGAAAUUGAAAUCAAAUUUGCUGAUGUGGCUGAUGACAGCACUGCAUGACCGGCAUCCAUGCUAGUGAUUGUUGCCAGGGCCGCUGACUGAAUCCUGUGCUAGUGGCACAUAAAAAGCAUGAUCGUUACCAGCGUUGCCUUACUGGCACGUAGAAAAUAACAUUUGUGCGAGGUCAUUGCCAGUACCGCUGGACUGGUUCCUGUACAGGUGGCACGUAAAAAACACCAUUUGAGCAUGGCCAUUGCCUUACUGCCUGACAGGCCCUUAUGCCGAUGGCACGUAAAAGCACCCACUACACUCUCAGAGCGGUUGGCAUUAGGAAAGGCAUCCAGCUGUUGAAACUCUGUCAGAUCAGAUUGGAGCCUGGUGCAGCCAUCUGGUUUACCAGUCCUCAGUCAAAUCGUCCAACACAUGCCAGCAUGGAAAGCAGACAUUAAACGAUGAUGAUGAUUAUGAUAUAUAUAUAUAGAUAGAUAGAUAGAUAGAUAAAUAGAUAGAUAGAUAGAUAGAUAGGCAGACAGACAGAGAGAUAGACAGACAGACAGAUAGAUAGAGAAAUAGAUAGAUAGAUAGACAGACAGACUUGUAAUAAUUAAUAAACAAAGUACAUAUUUUUAUGAGACACUAAUAGUUUCAAGUGAUGAAAACAACUCAGACAGCAUUUUAUAACACGUCUUCUUUAGGGUCUUUGCCCUUCAUAGAUUAAAUACUAGUUGCCUACCAGUACACAGCUGGUAUUUAGUUUAUAGGCUCCAAAAGGAUGAAAGGCAAAGAGCCUAAAGAUGUGAUUGACUAGCAGUCUCCUCCCUGAAUUUCAGACCUUAUGCCUAUGAUAGAAAGGACUGCUGUUAUUAUUAUUAUUAUUAUUAUUAUUAUUAUUAUGUUUUUUCCUUCUUUCUUCAAUUUUUCUUCCGUUUCUCGUCGAGUGUUUUCCAUACACCUAGGGCAGAGAAGCUCAUUGUAUGCAUUCGCAGAUUACACGCACAAAUUCACAGAUAAAACAUGUAUUUAAAAAUUAAUGAAUAAAUUCAUGGAUGGAUGUUAUUUUCACAGCGAUAAUGCUCUUCUCAGUACAUGAGCCGUUCCAGUUAAUACGAUUUUUUGCACUUCCUGUAAGCGGCCCUGGCAACAAUCACUAGCAUGGAUGCCGGUCAUGUGGUGCUGUCAUCAGCCACGUCAGCAAAUUUGAUUUCAAUUUCACUUGCCUCAACAGGUCUUCACAAGCAGAAUUUAGUGUCCAAUGAAAGAAAUGUAUGCAUAAGUGGAUAUAUAUAUAUAUAUAUAUAUAUAUAUAUAUAUAUAUAAUUAAUGUAGGAUAAAAUUUUUUGGGGAAAAAAAUUUUAUCAAUGGCCAGCAUAUCAAAAAAUAACUUUAAAGGUUAAAUUUAUAAAUAAUUUACAAGAUAUAGGCGCAGGAGUGGCUGUGUGGUAAGUAGCUUGCUAACCAACCACAUGGUUCCGGGUUCAGUCCCACUGCGUGGCAUCUUGGGCAAGUGUCUUCUGCUAUAGCCCCGGGCCAACCAAAGCCUUGUGAGUGGAUUUGGUAGACGGAAACUGAAAGAAGCCUGUCGUAUAUAUGUAUAUAUAUAUGUAUGUGUGUGUGUGUGUGUUUGUGUUUGUCCCCCUAGCAUUGCUUGACCACCGAUGCUGGUGUGUUUACGUCCCCGUCACUUAGCGGUUCGGCAAAAGAGACUGAUAGAAUAAGUACUGGGCUUACAAAGAAUAAGUCCCGGGGUCGAUUUGCUCGACUAAAAGGCGGUGCUCCAGCAUGGCCGCAGUCAAAUGACUGAAACAAGUAAAAGAGUAAAAGAGUAAAGAGUUGGAUAAAAUUUUUUGGGGAAAAAAAUUUUAUCAAUGGCCAGCAUAUCAAAAAAUAACUUUAAAGGUUAAAUUUAUAAAUAAUUUACAAGAUAAGGCCAGAAGAAAAAUUCUAAUGCCAAAUAUGCCGAAACAUAUAAUUGUUAUCGACAAUUUUUUGUAAUAUAUGGAAUCAUUUUCAAAUAGGUUUCAGUACCUAUUAUUAUUAUUAUUAUUAUUAUUAUUAUUAUUAUUGAGUGAGAGAGCAGUUCAUGCCAUCAAAGUGACACUGGGGUAAAAUAUACGAAGCCCAAUAUACCCAUCAUGACUACCCGUCUGAUAAGGGUACACCAGGCACAUGCAUCACAAACAUAUGUGCGCGACAUGGUGAUCUCAUAUCAAGAUAAACAGCACAUGACCUUGCAGGUGGGGCCCAGUUAGAAUUUCUUUCAGGUUGAGUAGCCCAUCCCGCUCAAAAGGUCCCUGAAUAAGGGUUGUUUAAGGAUGUUGAAAGAACCACUCAUGUUUCCAGAGGUGAAUUAUUCAAACCCCAAACAAUCCCUCUCAACACAUGGCUAUGAUGCUCCCCCACUACUUCUGCUCGUGAUCAGAGAUGCACAUAUCGUCAGCCACUAAGGGACAUGCUCAACUGGUUAAGGUCAAACAACUGACAAGCAAAUCUGUGGUAUUGAGCAGAAUAUUUGCUGUAGCCCAUCUUUUAUACCAAGACAAAACAAUGUACAUGAUAACACUUCCAAUCAGUUAAGAUCAGAAGCCAUGAGAGCCACUGCCUGGUACUGCAUCAGGGCAUUUAUUAUUAUUAUUAUUAUUAUUAUUAUUAUUAUUAUUAUUAUUAUUAUUAUUAUUAUUAUUAUUAUUAUUAUUAUUAUUAUUAUUAUUAUUAUUAUUAUUCAGUCACUAAGCUAGCAGAAUCAUUAGCAUGCCAGGCAAAAUGGUUGGUGGCAUUUUGUUCAUUUUUACAUUCUGAGUUCAAAUUCUACCGAGGUCAACUUUGCCCUUCAUCCUUUCAGGGUUGGGUGUUGAUGUAAUUGACUUACACCCUCCCUCCAAAUUUCAGGCCUUGUGCCUAUAGCGGAAAUGAUUAUUGUUGUUGUUGUUGUUAUUACCUCCACCUUAGUUAAGGCAUGUUUGUUAGUUUGUUUGUCCUUGGAUAAGAAUAUCUCAAGAACCACUGGAUGGAUUUGGAUUUCAGGGAUGUUUGGCCUCAUGACUGGCACAAACUGAUUAGAUUUUGGGAUCGAUCCGGUACCAGACAAGGAUUCUGCAUUACUUUUCCUGUUUUUUCCUUAAUUUUUGAGAGUGGUCAGGUUCAUCUUUAGUAUUUUCAUUUGUGAGAGCAGUCAAGUUUAUUUCAGAUAUUCUCAUUUUAAAAAUCAUCUCUGGCUAAUCAUUGAGAGGACGUUGGUUUUGCCUUGGAGGAGGUUUGCACUCUCUGAGUGCUCUUGUUGUUAUUAUUAUUAUUAUUAUUAUUAUUAUUAUUAUUAUCAUUAUUAUUAAGGUGAUGAGCUGGCAGAAUCUUUAGCACACUGGGUGAAAUGCUUAGCAGCAUUUCAUCCAAUCCGUCUUUACAUACAAGUUCUACUGAGGUCAGCUUUACCUCUCAUCCUUUCAGCUUUGAUAAAAUAAGAACCAGUUGAACACUGGAGUCGAUGUCUUUGACUUACCCACCUCUUUCAAAAUUACUGGCUUUGCACCAAAAUUUGAAACCAAUAUUUGAAGAAUAAAAAUUUAUUUCAUGGUUCGUUAUUGUUUAUACUUUGAAUAACAUAUACAUAUGGGGACACCAAAAUCUUACUUUAGUGCUCAGAGCCUAUAUGGGUUUUAAUCUGGCCCUACACACACACAGACACACACAUACACAUAGAUUCAUACAUGCAUAAAUAUUGGGUCAUCCCAUAAAUAAAGCAGUUUUUUCAAUUGCAUGAACUAAAAGUCAGAGGGGGGUGGGAUAAACUACCUUGCGUCAACUUGUAACAAAAACAGGUAGUAAUUUUACCUUGCCCUUAUUCUUAGUGCAAGUUUUGAAGAGUGCAGUUCUAUUUUAAUAGUUAUUUUUUGAAAGCUAUAAGGGAAGUAACAAAAGAGCAUAUUUGGAAUAGUUUGCUUUAUGAUUGCAAUAAAGGCAACAAUACAAUGGAAAGUGUGAGGAAUAUUCAUGCAGUAUACGGGAAUUGGACAAUAAGUGUAAGCCAGUGUCAACAUUGAUUCCAGGAAUUCUGAUUUGGAAAUGACAGCCUAGAAGACGAGCCUCGUCCUGGAAGAUCUGUAGAGCUCAACAAAGAUGUCCUGCAAACCCUAGUGGAACAAAAUCUCAUUGUAACUGUUGAGGAAUCAGCAGAGAAGCUUGGAUUUAGUCAUUCAACCAUUCACCAACACUAGUAUUAGAAGGAAAACUACCAUUUUUGGUUUCAAGACAAAAGGUUUUCUUCCAUCAGGAUAAUACUCAGCCACACACAGCGAGGAUGACAUUCCAAAGGCUGGAGUAGUUUGAAUGGGAAAUGGUGCCCCACCCACCAUAUUCACUGGACAUUGCCCCAUCUGAUUAUCAUGUGGAUGGAAAAAAUAUGAAUUCUGUAGAUGUGGUCAGAACAGUAUUGGCAGAGUAUUUUUCAUCACAGACAAAUGAAUUUUGGAAGAGGAGCCUUGCGAGUCUACCAGAUAGAUGGGAAAGCAUUGUAGAAAAUGAAGGAGAGUAUAUUUUAGAUUAAAAAAGAACUUUGUUUAUCUUAAUUUUGAAAAAUAAAAGAAGUAUAAAAAACUGCAUUAUUUAUGGGAUGACCCAGUAUAUGCAUACAUAUAUACAUACAUACAUAUAUAUACAUACACACACAUACAUACAUACACACACAUAUAUACAUGCAUACAUAUACACAUACAUACAUUUAUACAUACAUACAUACAUGCACACACACACACAAACGUACACAUCUACCUAUAUAUUAUUCCACAGGGUGACACAUUCAGAAAAAAAGUCAUGUUUGCCACUUGGAAUAAAUUACUCAAAGGUAAGUAUAAAAGGAAAUAAGAGUUGUGCAUUAAAUAUAUUUAAUUCGUUGCUUCAAUCAAUUAACAUGAAAUUAAUUUCCAUUCUCCAGGUAUUUCUUUGUAAUCAACACCCCCGAGAAAACCAUGCAAAGCCAUCACACCCUCGCCGUCGUCAGUUUGCUGUUGGCUGCAUUCGUGGCACCUGUUUCCUGCCGGUGGUUCUACAACACUCAACUGAACUGCUUCACGGAAUGCAUGACUUGCUUAAUGACUGGGCUUGACUGCCAGCCUCACCAACCGUUUCCUUCGGGCUAUGAAGACUGUGAAUUCAUCUGUUUUAUGUCGCCGGACGUGCUUAAUGAAACCCUUCCAGCAAUUCAAAGCAGUCUGCACACCUGCAGGGAUAUUCACAAACGAGACCUCAAUGAUCUCAGUUUGUGUAUCCGUGAACAUAUAGAAAAGUUUUACCCAGACUUCUAUAAGAGAUUACCUUGGCUGCCUUUCUAUGAAUCAACGACACAGGAAGAAUGAAAAAGGGAAAAGAGAAGAGAAAAAACAAAACACUGUACAAAAUGUGAAAUUGCAAGAAAUAUUGCAAAUAUUUAAAGAAUUUCAAAUGCUUCAAAACUACAAAAAUAUUUCUAAAAAAACCUAUUAACAUUUAGGAUAUACUUCUCUCUCUCUCUCUCUCUCUCUCUCUGUAUAUAUUAAUACAUAUACAUGUAUAUAUACAUUAAUAUAUACAUAUAUAUACACACACAUAUGUGGACUAGACAUAUCACCCAUUCAAAAACACACAAAACACUCCCCUUAAACAUUUAUUACUUGGUGUCAGAAUUUUCAUCUCACUAAUUGCAACAUGAUCGCUGACACAGAUCUUCUGCCAUUAUCUAUCAAUCUAUCUAUCUAUCUAUCUAUCUAUCUAUCUAUCUAUCUAUCUAUCUAUCUAUCUAUCUAUAUAUCUACACACACACAUAUCAUAAAAAUAGGAAAACAUAAAUCUCACAGAGCUCUUACUUUGUGUUCAACAGCUGUUUCAUUAAGAUUAACAGGCUUAAAACAGUUGUUAUAGAAAGAGAGAAGAGAAUAAUGUGAGAGAAAACUCAAAACAAGAUGUAUAUUUGCUCUAAAAAACUGUUUAAUUACAGCAAUAGGGCUGUCAGAUAAUAACAGAUUCUUGUGCUAACAAUAUGUAUAUAUUAAAAGAAUUAUUAAAAUUAUCAAGAUAUAAAGGUUUGUUUGUUACGCAGUUGUUCAUUUGUAUUUCUGGUCUCUCAACAAU